GGUCCCGUAGCUCAGCUGGAUAGAGCAUCCCGACUUUAGUCGGGACGGUCUCCGGUUCGAAUCCAAACGGGAUCA
rnacentral:tRNA from 1 species